CUUGCUUCUCUUGUAGAGCGGCGGACGGGUGAGUAAUGCCUAGGAAUCUGCCUGGUAGUGGGGGAUAACGUUCGGAAACGGACGCUAAUACCGCAUACGUCCUACGGGAGAAAGCAGGGGACCUUCGGGCCUUGCGCUAUCAGAUGAGCCUAGGUCGGAUUAGCUAGUUGGUGGGGUAAUGGCUCACCAAGGCGACGAUCCGUAACUGGUCUGAGAGGAUGAUCAGUCACACUGGAACUGAGACACGGUCCAGACUCCUACGGGAGGCAGCAGUGGGGAAUAUUGGACAAUGGGCGAAAGCCUGAUCCAGCCAUGCCGCGUGUGUGAAGAAGGUCUUCGGAUUGUAAAGCACUUUAAGUUGGGAGGAAGGGUUGUAGAUUAAUACUCUGCAAUUUUGACGUUACCGACAGAAUAAGCACCGGCUAACUCUGUGCCAGCAGCCGCGGUAAUACAGAGGGUGCAAGCGUUAAUCGGAAUUACUGGGCGUAAAGCGCGCGUAGGUGGUUUGUUAAGUUGGAUGUGAAAUCCCCGGGCUCAACCUGGGAACUGCAUUCAAAACUGACUGACUAGAGUAUGGUAGAGGGUGGUGGAAUUUCCUGUGUAGCGGUGAAAUGCGUAGAUAUAGGAAGGAACACCAGUGGCGAAGGCGACCACCUGGACUAAUACUGACAGUGAGGUGCGAAAGCGUGGGGAGCAAACAAGAUUAGAUACCCUG
rnacentral:rRNA from 1 species